rnacentral:rRNA from 1 species
AACGAACGCUGGCGGCGUGGUUUAGGCAUGCAAGUCGAGCGAGAAAGUCCCUUCGGGGGCGAGUAAGGCGGCGAAAGGGUGAGUAAUGCAUAGGUAACCUACCUCGGAAACCGGGAUAAUUCCUGGAAACGGGUUGUAAUACCGGAUGGUCCAAUCGGGGCGCAUGUUCUGAUUGGUAAAUGGUAGCUCUGCUUCUGUUCCGAGAGGGGCCUAUGUCCUAUUAGCUAGUUGGUGAGGUAACGGCUCACCAAGGCGGUGAUGGGUAGCCGGACUGAGAGGUUGGCCGGUCACACUGGGACUGAGACACUGCCCAGACUCCUACGGGAGGCUGCAGUCGAGAAUUUUCGCAAUAGGCGGAACGACUCGACGGGCGGACG